rnacentral:rRNA from 1 species
CGACCUCAGUUCAGGUGAGAUUACCGGC